AACGAACGCUGGCGGCAGGCUUAACACAUGCAAGUCGAGCGCCCCGCAAGGGGAGCGGCAGACGGGUGAGUAACACGUGGGAACGUACCUUUUGCUACGGAAUAGCUCCGGGAAACUGGAAUUAAUACCUUAUACGCCCUUCGGGGGAAAGAUUUAUCGGGGUAUGAUGAGCCCGCGUUGGAUUAGCUAGUUGUGGGGUAAAGGCCUACCAAGGCGACGAUCCAUAGCUGGUCUGAGAGGAUGAUCAGCCACAUUGGGACUGAGACACGGCCCAAACUCCUACGGGAGGCAGCAGUGGGGAAUAUUGGACAAUGGGCGCAAGCCUGAUCCAGCCAUGCCGCGUGAGUGAUGAAGGUCUUAGGAUUGUAAAGCUCUUUCACCGAUGAAGAUAAUGACGGUAGUCGGAGAAGAAGCCCCGGCUAACUCCGUGCCAGCAGCCGCCGUAAAAC
rnacentral:rRNA from 1 species